rnacentral:rRNA from 1 species
UACGUAGGGGGCAAGCGUUGUUCGGAUUUAUUGGGCGUAAAGAGCGUGUAGGCGGCCAGGUAGGUCAGCUGUGAAAACUCGAGGCUCAACCUCGAGACGUCGGUUGAAACCACCUGGCUAGAGUCCGGAAGAGGAGAGUGGAAUUCCUGGUGUAGCGGUGAAAUGCGCAGAUAUCAGGAGGAACACCGGUGGCGAAGGCGGGUCUCUGGGCCGUAACUGACGCUGAGGAGCGAAAGCGUGGGGAGCGAACAGG